rnacentral:rRNA from 1 species
GACGAACGCUGGCGGCGUGCUUAACACAUGCAAGUCGAACGAAGUGGCGAACGGGUGAGUAAUACGUGGGUAACUUGCCCUCCUUUUUGGGAUAAGCAUGGGAAACGGGGUCUAAUACCGCAUAGAGGGGGAUGGGCUCGCGGCCUAUCAGCUUGUUGGUGGGGUGAGGGCCUACCAAGGGGGUGACGGGUAGCCGGGCUGAGAGGGGGAACGGCGACAUUGGGACUGAGAUACGGCCCAGACUCCGACGCGACGCAGCAGUGGGGGAUAUUGCAGAAUGGUCGAAAGCCUGAUGCAGCGACGCCGCGUGGGGGAUGAAGGCUGUCGGGUUGUAAACCUGUUUCGCUAGUGACUGGGUAGGUGGAGAAGAAGCGCCGGCUAACUACGUGCCAGCAGCCGCGGUAAUAC